UAAAAAAAAAACAGUUUUGACUAGUGUUAUUUUGCUCCCCCGUAGUAUUCUGCUCGCUCCCACCGACACCCCCUCCCCCAGAAAAAUUCCCCAAAUUUGGCCGGCCAAAAUCAUGGACGGAGAUCGACGGACGCCGGCGGCCGCGGCCGCCGCCGCAUCGGCGGCAUCGGUCCUUGACGACGACAACCUCCUCCGCGAGAUCCUCCUCUGCGUCGCCUUCCCCACCUGCCUCUCGUCAACGCCGCUCUCGUCUGCAAGCGGUGGCUCCUCCACGCCUCCAGCCCGGCCUUCCUCCGCCGCUUCCGCGAGCGCAACCCGCCCCGCCUCCUCGGCGCCUGCGUCGGCUACCCCGGCAGGUAUCGCUUCGUGCCUCUCCCGCGGCAGCCCCCGGAGCUCGCCGCCCCCAUACGCCGCGCGACCUCCUGCUGCGACGCCGCCUUCGCCCGCAGAUGCCCGCGAAUCAAGCACUGCCGGAGCGGCCGCCUCAUCAUCGAGGUCUUCCGCGACGGCAGCUUCAAUCACCCCCUUGUGGUGCCGGUUCUCGCCGGGGAGUCUUCAACCGUCCUCCCACCAACCCUGCUGUCCCACGCCCACCGUAACUACUGGGAGAGGCGCACUCAAUUCACUGAGAUGUUCCUACCCGAGGAUGGGGGCCGCGACGGCAUAUCGUUGGUGAAUCUGUGGAAGGACCGGCAAAAAGUGUAUGCGGAGGUGUGCAUCCUCAGAUCUGGCCGAUGGUGCGUCCCUGACAUGGAAUCAGAGAUAGAGCCCCCAGAUGGCACAGUCUUCCUUGAAAUGCUACCACCCGUCCAUGGCAAAGUCUUCAUGGUGACCAACUCUGGGCACACCGUGGGUCUAGAUUUGGCCGCGGGGAGCCUUUUCACCCUAGAGCUACCAGUUGGAGUGCGGAGCAACUAUAUGCUCUCAUGUGCAGAGGAUUCAGGGAUCUAUCUUGUCAGCGCAGACGGGUUUCAGCUCAGUGUGUGGCUCCAUCGGAUGUCGGGCGAUGACAAUGAUGCAGGCUGGCUGCUGCUGGACACAUUUUGUGUCCGUGAGGGUCAGGCAUGCACGCCCCGUGCAGAGGACAGUUGGGUUCCUCCUCGCAAUGUUUGUCUUGAUGUUGUUGCGGUCGGGGACAAUGCCGACUUUGUGUUCUUGGAUCAUCCAGCAAGUGGCACUCUCUUUUAUGUUCAUCUGAGGAGCAGGGUGGUUGAGAAGGUCUAUCAGAGGGGGGCAGAUGAAUGUGGGUAUAAACGUGCGGCUGCUGGCCAUGUGCGUGUCUCUCCUGUUAUGAUGAUCUGGCCACCUAUCUUCCCAGCGCGGAACGUGAGACGUGAAGAAUGAUCCCCCUGUGUUUGAUCGUUGUACUAUCUAAACUGAGUAUGAGGUCUGUAAUAGAGAGGUAUGUACUUUGAGUUAUUUCUCUUCCUAGAUCAGCAGAUAUUGCAGUCAUGUAAGUUGGGUCUUACGAACCUAUGUUCAUUUCAGUAAAAAAAACUGAAGUUCUCAGAGGUAUAUUGCAAUAUAUUUAGUAA